rnacentral:misc_RNA from 1 species
CCGAGUGAGGGUCUCUCAGGCCCGACCUCCCACCCUGUGUUUUUGUGACCUUGUUGCUUUGGCGGGCCCGCCUCGAUGAGAGGCCGCCGGAAGCUCACGCUUUGGGCCCGUGCCCGCCAGUAGCCCCCUUAAAUUCUUCAUAAAUCUGUCGUCUGAGUCCAUGGAUAUAAUGAAAA